GAUGAAGAACGUAGUGAAAUGCGAUAAGUAAUGUGAAUUGCAGACACCGUGAAUCAUCGAAUCUUUGAACGCACAUUGCGCCCUUUGGUAUUCCGAAGGGCAUGCCUGUUCGAGCGUCAUUACACUAUUCUUCGGAGUAUUGACAGUGGCUUACGCCUUGUCUAAAACCCUUGGUGGUAACUAUCAAUCACGCAUAGUAAUCUCUGCGAAGGUGGAUAGGUAAACACUGAAAACUUCUUGUUUGACCUCGGAUCAGGUAGGGAUACCCGCUGAACUUAAGCAUAUCAAUAAGCGGAGGA
rnacentral:misc_RNA from 1 species